ACAUUAUUAUAAAAAUCUAACAAGUGAGCUUUGUUGCUGUAACAGAAACUGAUAGCUAUCACCUAAAAUUUCCUGACAGUAGCAGCGAGAAAUUUCUUCAGAGAUGUGCAAAGUAAACGUAACGAAACUGACAGGAAAAUGAUCAAAGGCUAUGCCGUCUAGCGUCAGAAAAAAGAAAGGUUUAACAGUAACAUGAAAACAAUGUCUGUUCUAGCUCUUUGACUCUUAAACUAACAAACAAAGGCAAAUAACUUUGACACUCUUGUAAUAUUCUCCCCUCCAAAAUGUGUUUCUCGUCUUAAUAAAAAAAGCCACCGCCGCAGCAUCACCCAUCACAACAGACGAAAUUCCCAAGGUAUAGCAGGCAGCUUAACAUUUGUUUAUGUUCCUUGUCAGCUUGUCUAUCUGUUGGUGAUUCCAGAUUGUUGACGAAAUAUCGUAUACUACACCUUUACGUUUUGACGGCCAUUGAUGUUCAUGCUGUUAAUGGAAAUGUUGCCUAAUAAGGAGAUGGUGAAAGCUGUUCUUAAAGCUGUUGCUGCUGUCACUGUUGUCCUUGGUGUCACAAUUCAAUGGGGUUGAUAAAGCAACAGGCCCCUGUCGUCAAAUUGUUUAAUUUAACUGGUUGGUGCAGUAUGUUAUGAAAAUGAAAAAAGAAAAAAAAAAAAAAAAAAAACAGAAGAAGAAA